rnacentral:rRNA from 1 species
GACGAACGCUGGCGGCGUGCUUAACACAUGCAAGUCGAACGGAAAGGAGCUGCUUUUGUGGGGUGCUCGAGUGGCGAACGGGUGAGUAACACGUGAGUAACCUGCCUUUGACUUUGGGAUAACUUCAGGAAACUGGGGCUAAUACCGGAUAGGAGCUCCUGCUGCAUGGUGGGGGUUGGAAAGUUUCGGCGGUUGGGGAUGGACUCGCGGCUUAUCAGCUUGUUGGUGGGGUAGUGGCUUACCAAGGCUUUGACGGGUAGCCGGCCUGAGAGGGUGACCGGCCACAUUGGGACUGAGAUACGGCCCAGACUCCUACGGGAGGCAGCAGUGGGGAAUAUUGCACAAUGGGCGGAAGCCUGAUGCAGCAACGCCGCGUGCGGGAUGACGGCCUUCGGGUUGUAAACCGCUUUCGCCUGUGACGAAGCGUGAGUGACGGUAAUGGGUAAAGAAGCACCGGCUAACUACGUG